GUGAGGAAUAUUGCGCAAUGGAGGCAACUCUGACGCAGCCAUGCCGCGUGCAGGAAGAAGGCGCUACGCGUUGUAAACUGCUUUUAACCGGGAAGAAACCCCAGGACGUGUCCUGGGUUGACGGUACCGGAGGAAUAAGCACCGGCUAACUUCGUGCCAGCAGCCGCGGUAAUACGAAGGGUGCAAGCGUUAUCCGGAUUCAUUGGGUUUUAAGGGUGCGUAGGCGGAGCGUUAAGUCAGUGGUGAAAUCCUGCAGCUUAACUGUAGACUUGCCAUUGAUACUGGCGCUCUUGAGUGCGCUUGAAGUGGGCGGAAUGUGCCGUGUAGCGGUGAAAUGCUUAGAUAUGGCACAGAACACCAAUUGCGAAGGCAGCUCACUAAGGCGAUACUGACGCUGAGGCACGAAAGCGUGGGGAUCGAACAGGAUUAGAAACCCUGGUAGUCC
rnacentral:rRNA from 1 species